AGGAAAAAAGAAAAGAAAAACCCUGAGAAAACUCAGCCGAAGUAACAAUGCUGAGCAGCGCCAGCAAUAGGGUAUUGACAUUUACAUUGCAAUUCUCCUCAUCUCUCAAAUUCUCACCCAAAACCCAUAUCGACUAUCGACCCGGGAGCCUUCAUAGCUCAAUCAUGAGCUCUGCUUCUCGUUCCUCUCCAAGAGAAGCCCUAUUAGAUGAUAGUGGUUGCGGUGGCCCCAUCACGUUGGAGGAAUGGCAACGAUGGGGCUGCGUAUCUCCAGUACCAGCAAUGGUAAAUGCUGUCAUUCAGGAUUUGAAGCUUCUGGAGAAUAAUAUUGAUGCCCACAUGGUUUUUGGUGGUAAUGGUGGUAAAUUACAGGGGGAUUUUAAAAUCCAGGAGGAUAAGAAGCACAGAGCAAAAUAUGAGACAUUGGCUGACUCAGACAAAAAGUUCCAGUUCUAUUCUGCUCGGCAAAUAGCAUGCAGGUUGCUCGGAAGUCGGGGCUAUCUCUGCCAGAAGUGUUGGCUUCCUAUGGAAGAUUGCAUGUGUUCAAAAGUCAAGCCUUCUUCACUAUGGCAUGGCAUAAAAUUUUGGGUGUAUAUGCACCCAAAGGAUUUUCUACGGCAGAACAACACUGGCAAGUUGUUAUGGCAAGUAUUUGGUGUUCAAGCUGCAACUUUGUGUCUUUAUGGAAUUUCUGAAGAUGAGGAGAUCAUGUGGAAUGCAUUUAAGGAUGCACGAAAAGCCAAGGUUUGGUGCCUUUAUCCAAACCACAACAAUGCACCAAAGACAGUUCAGGAUGCCUUUAGCCAUCAAUCUUCAGCAGAUAUGGAAUGUGCAUAUUCGUUGACAAAUAAAGAUAGACCUCUGAAUUUUGUUUUGAUUGAUGGUACAUGGAGCAAUUCUGCAGCAAUGUUCAGGCGUGUAAAGGAGCAAGCAAAGUUGGCCUGGGGAGAGGAAGACAUCCCUUGCAUAUCUCUUGCCUCAGGUGCAUCUGCAAUGCAUAAGCUUCGUCCUCAACCAUCAUGGGACCGUACUUGUACAGCCGCAGCAGCUAUUAGUGUUCUUGCUGAGCUGCAGCUUCUUCCAGAGUGCAGCACCCAUGGAUUGGAUAAACAGGCUGAAGCAGUUGAAGAUGCUCUAGUUGUCUUGUUAGAAGUACUGACGACUCGACGCCUUCGGAUGGGCAGGUCCAUCACUCGUAAAGUAAGACACUCUAGGGACAUUUGUUAACAGCCAACCAGUUGAAUGAGAUACCUGAGGGUGAUCAGAAGCAAGCUUACUCCAAUUUAGGGUUCCUAUAUUCGGAUUCAAUUGCAUCAACAACUACUGAUAGAUAUGUAGUGAGGUGUCAAGUAACAAGCUGUGCAUUGACUGCUAAGCUCUUCAAAUUGUAUUUUGAUAUAUAGAGGUAGGUAUCUCUAUUUCAUUGUAAACUUUGCCUACAAGGCUUUUUAUUCACAAUCUAGUAUUUACUGCUGAUUGCAAACUGGAUAGAACUUGCUUUAUUUGAAAUUUAGCACAGUUACCAAGCAAA